AUUGAACGCUGGCGGCAGGCCUAACACAUGCAAGUCGAGCGAGCGGCGGACGGGUGAGUAAUGUAUGGGGACUGGCCGAUAAGAGGGGGAAACUAAUGGGAAAGGGUGCUAAUACCGCAUACUAACGGGUUAACCCAUAUGGGAUUAGCGAGUAGGUGGGGUAAAGGCUCACCUAGGCGACGAUCUCUUGCUGGUCUGGUAGGAUGAUCAGCCACACUGGGACUGAGACACGGCCCAGACUCCUACGGGAGGCAGCAGUGGGGAAUAUUGCACAAUGGGCGCAAGCCUGAUGCAGCCAUGCCGCGUGUAUGAAGAAGGCCUUAGGGUUGUAAAGUACUUUCAGCGGGGAGGCGUUACCCGCAGAAGAAGCACCGGCUAACUCCGUGCCAGCAGCCGCGGUAAUAC
rnacentral:rRNA from 1 species